rnacentral:rRNA from 1 species
AUUGAACGCUGGCGGCAGGCCUAACACAUGCAAGUCGAACGAGUGGCGGACGGGUGAGUGAUGUCUGUGAAACUGCCCGAUGGAGAGGGAUAACUCCUGGAAACGGUAGCUAAUACCGCAUACCAUCUGAUGUGCCCAGAUGGGGUUAGCGAUUAGGGGGGGGAACGGCUCACCUAGGGGACGAGCCCUCGCUGGUCUGAGAGGAUUACCAGCCAACCUGGAAACGAGACACGGGCCCGACUCCUAAGGGAGGCAGCAGUGGGGAAUAUUUCACCAUGGGCGCAAGCCUUAUGCAGCCACGGCGCGGGUAUGAAGAAGGCCUUCCGGUUUGAAAGUACUUUCAGCGAGGAGGCGUUACUCGCAGAAGAAACACCGGCUAACUCCGUGCCAGCCGCCGCGGUAAUUC